rnacentral:rRNA from 1 species
GACGAACGCUGGCGGCGUGCUUAACACAUGCAAGUCGAACGGAAAGGCCCUGCUUGCAGGGUACUCGAGUGGCGAACGGGUGAGUAACACGUGGGUGAUCUGCCCUGCACUUCGGGAUAAGCCUGGGAAACUGGGUCUAAUACCGGAUAGGAGCCAUUUUUAGUGUGAUGGUUGGAAAGUUUUUUCGGUGUAGGAUGAGCUCGCGGCCUAUCAGCUUGUUGGUGGGGUAAUGGCCUACCAAGGCGGCGACGGGUAGCCGGCCUGAGAGGGUGGACGGCCACAUUGGGACUGAGAUACGGCCCAGACUCCUACGGGAGGCAGCAGGGGGGAAUAUUGCACAAUGGGCGCAAGCCUGAUGCAGCGACGCCGCGUGGGGGAUGACGGCCUUCGGGUUGUAAACUCCGUUCGCUAGGGACGAAGCUUUUUGUGACGGUACCUAGAUAAGAAGCACCGGCUAACUACGUG